AGAGGCUGGGUGGCUGAGGGGACUGACAGGAAAGAAGGGGAAUGGUGAGAUUUGGCCGUGCUUUAAGAGGGCAGACUCUCCAGUUUACAGGCAGAGCCGGGAGAUGGGGAGUGAGGAGGGGUCUUGGCGAGAGGCACGGGCCUGGGGAAGGAGAGCCGGUCACUGGCAGGUGCCAAGGCUGUUCUGAGCGGUGCUGUCUCUCUUGAGGGGUGGAGUUCAUGUGGGACUUUCCACCCCAGUUUUGCCUGAUGUCGAAGGCCCCAAACAAAACGAACAGGCAUCGCCGUACGACUCCCCGGAGCACGGGAGGAAAAUGUGUUUACAGAGGACCAGAGAGCAAACGUUUUACGCACACCACCUCUGUUGCAAUCCCUCCACUCUGCCAUUAUGGUACGAAGACAGUUGCAAGAUGAUGCCCUGAACAAGCCCUCACCUCUCUGACCUCAGUUUCCCUCCCUGUAAAAUGGGUUGGAGAAAAUUAGGGUCUGUAUUCAUUGCCCGCGGCGGCUGUAACAAACCACAGACCGGAUGUCUUAAAGCAGCAGAAAUGUAUUCUCUCGCAGCCUGGAGGCCAGAACUUUGACAUCCAGGGGCCUCCGCUCCCUUCCAGGCCCCUGGGGGAGGACCCUUCCUGCCUCUCCCACCUUCUGGGGGCUCCAGGCUCUCCUUGACUUGUAGCCACACCCCUCUCCUCUCUGCCUCCGCCUUCUUCUCUUUCUCCUCCUCUUCUGUCCGUCUCAAAUCUCCCUCUGCCUCUCUGGUCUAAGGACAACUGUCACUGCAUUCAGAAUUUACCUGGAUGGUCCAGACUCUUAUGAUCCUUAACUUAAUGCCUGCAAAGACCCUUUUUUCCAAGUACGUUAACAUUCACAGGGCCACCAUUCAACCUACUACAGGUGUCUUUACGGUGCUUAAAAAGGCAGAUGAAAUCAGAAUGUCAACCUCUUCUUUUUAUUUUUUUAUUUUUAUUUUUUGAGACAGAGAUGGUGCAAG